GACGAACGCUGGCGGCGUGCUUAACACAUGCAAGUCGAGCGGAAAGGCACUGCUUUUGUGGGGUGCUCGAGUGGCGAACGGGUGAGUAACACGUGAGUAACCUGCCCUAGACUUUGGGAUAACUUCAGGAAACUGGGGCUAAUACCGGAUAGGAGCUCCUACUGCAUGGUGGGGGUUGGAAAGUUUCGGCGGUUGGGGAUGGACUCGCGGCUUAUCAGCUUGUUGGUGGGGUAGUGGCUUACCAAGGCUUUGACGGGUAGCCGGCCUGAGAGGGUGACCGGCCACAUUGGGACUGAGAUACGGCCCAGACUCCUACGGGAGGCAGCAGUGGGGAAUAUUGCACAAUGGGCGGAAGCCUGAUGCAGCAACGCCGCGUGCGGGAUGACGGCCUUCGGGUUGUAAACCGCUUUCGCCUGUGACGAAGCGUGAGUGACGGUAAUGGGUAAAGAAGCACCGGCUAACUACGUG
rnacentral:rRNA from 1 species